CUACGGGUGGCAGCAGUGGGGAAUAUUGGACAAUGGGCGAAAGCCUGAUCCAGCCAUGCCGCGUGUGUGAAGAGGCCUUCGGGUUGUAAAGCACUUUCAGUGGGGAAGAAAGCCUUGGGGCUAAUACCCUCGAGGAAGGACAUCACCCACAGAAGAAGCACCGGCUAACUCCGUGCCAGCAGCCGCGGUAAUACGGAGGGUGCGAGCGUUAAUCGGAAUUACUGGGCGUAAAGCGCGCGUAGGCGGUCUGAUAAGCCGGUUGUGAAAGCCCCGGGCUCAACCUGGGAACGGCAUCCGGAACUGUCAGGCUAGAGUGCAGGAGAGGAAGGUAGAAUUCCCGGUGUAGCGGUGAAAUGCGUAGAGAUCGGGAGGAAUACCAGUGGCGAAGGCGGCCUUCUGGACUGACACUGACGCUGAGGUGCGAAAGCGUGGGUAGCAAACAGGAUUAGAUACCCUGUAGU
rnacentral:rRNA from 1 species